rnacentral:rRNA from 1 species
UAGAGUUUGAUCCUGGCUCAGGAUGAACGCUGGCGGCGUGCUUAACACAUGCAAGUCGAACGAGUUGGCUUUCGGGCCAGCUAGUGGCGGACGGGUGCGUAACACGUAGGUGACCUGCCCUGGAGUGGGGAAUAAUUCCGCUAACGCGGGACUAAUACCGCAUACGCUCUGUCAUUCAGUUGAUUGAGCAAAGCCUUCGGGCGCUCUAGGAUGGGCCUGCGGCGGAUUAGGUAGUUGGUAGGGUAAUGGCCUACCAAGCCGAUGAUCCGUAGGGGGCGUGAGAGCGUGACCCCCCACAUUGGCACUGAGAUACGGGCCAAACUCCUACGGGAGGCAGCAGUGAGGAAUAUUGCACAAUGGGCGAAAGCCUGAUGCAGCAACGCCGCGUGAGGGACGAAGGCCUUCGGGUCGUAAACCUCUUUUCUGAGGGACGAGAAAAGGACGGUACUCGGGAAUAAGUCUCGGCUAACUACGUGCCAGCAGCCGCGGUA